rnacentral:rRNA from 1 species
CGAACGAUGAARCCCAGCUUGCUGGGUGGAUUARUGGCGAACGGGUGAGUAACACGUGAGUAACCUGCCCUUAACUCUGGGAUAAGCCUGGGAAACUGGGUCUAAUACCGGAUAGGAGCGUCCACCGCAUGGUGGGKGUUGGAAAGAUUUAUCGGUUUUGGAUGGACUCGCGGCCUAUCASCUUGUUGGUGAGGUAAUGGCUCMCCAAGGCGACGACGGGUAGCCGGCCUGAGAGGGUGACCGGCCACACUGGGACUGAGACACGGCCCAGACUCCUACGGGAGGCAGCAGUGGGGAAUAUUGCACAAUGGGCGCAAGCCUGAUGCAGCGACGCCGCGUGAGGGAUGACGGCCUUCGGGUUGUAAACCUCUUUCAGUAGGGAAGAAGCGAAAGUGACGGUACCUGCAGAAGAAGCACCGGCUAACUACKUGCCAGCAGCCGCGGUAAUACGUAGGGUGCGAGCGUUAUCCGGAAUUAUUGGGCGUAAAGAGCUCGUARGCGGUUUGUCGCGUCUGUCGUGAAAGUCCGGGGCUUAACCCCGGAUCUGCGGUGGGUACGGGCAGACUAKAGUGCASUAKGGGAGA